CCAAUAGCGUAUAUUAAAGUUGUUGCAGUUAAAAAGCUCGUAGUUGAAUUUCGGGAUCGAAUUGUUGGUCGUGCUUCGGUACGUACUGGCAUUAUUGGUUCCUACCUUCUGAAGAACCGCGAUGUCAUUAAUUUGGUGUCGUGGGGAAUCAGGACUGUUACUUUGAAAAAAUUAGAGUGUUUAAAGCAGGCGCACGCUUGAAUACAUUAGCAUGGAAUAAUGAAAUAGGACGUUUGAUUCUAUUUUGUUGGUUUCUAGGAUUGACGUAAUGAUUAAUAGGGAUAGUUGGGGGCAUUAGUAUUCAAUUGUCAGAGGUGAAAUUCUUGGAUUUAUUGAAGACUAACUACUGCGAAAGCAUUUGCCAAGGAUGUUUUCAUUAAUCAAGAACGAAAGUUAGGGGAUCGAAGACGAUCAGAUACCGUCGUAGUCUUAACCAUAAACUAUGCCGACUAGGGAUCGGAUGAUGUUAAUUUUUUAAUGACUCAUUCGGCGCCUUACGG
rnacentral:rRNA from 1 species